AUAAUAAACAUUAUAUUUUUUUUACCUUUUCACAAAAUAAUACUUCUUUUAUAAUAACUAUGAUAUGUUCAUGUAACAAAAGUACUUUACAUAGUAAAAACAUGUUCUAACAAUAUAGAAAAUGUCGUUCUCUGCUUUAAUACAUUUACUAUAGCAAUUUUUUUCUUCUUUUUUGUUAUUAAAUUAUUUGUUCAUUUUUUUUUUUAAUUAUAAAAAAAAUUUUAUUACAACUUUUUACGUCAUUAUUGCAAGGUUUAACAGUAUAUUUGUUCUAUUAUGAACAAAAAUUAUUUUUAGGAUGGCACAACAUUCGAUGCAUUUGUAAAAAAAUAUAUAUCGUCACAUAUGAGUAAAAAAAAAAAAUAAAAAAUAAAAAUAAAAAAAUUAUGAAAAAUAUGAAAUUAUGAAGAUUAUACAAAAUGUAUAUAACGCAUAAAACUAUUCAAAAAAAAUUAAUAAACAUUAUUAUAUAAUUGUAUGUGAAAAAAAAUAAUGUUUAUCAAAACUUUUAAAGUAUUUAUCACUUUUUUUUUUUUAUGGGCAUGGACUUAUAAAGACAAAGCACGUAUAAGAAAUAUAUUAAACACAAAAUACGAUAGAUUGUUAGCUCAAUAUGAUAUCUCUCCAGACGACUGUUUUAAUUAUUCUACAGUAGAUUAUACUAAUAAUAAAACAUGUGAUGACUGUGGUAAAAAUAGAAAAAAUGUUAAAUAUAAAAGAAAAGGCAUAAAUUUUCAAAAUGAAGAAUAUAAUAAAAAAAAAUUAAUUUAUUUACCCGAUAUUAAACAAGAAAUAAUUAAAAUAUUAGCAAACCGAAAUGAACCCGAAAUAACGUUCAUAUUAGCAAAAAAUAAAAACAUACAAGAAAAAGAUUUACUAGAAAUUUAUAAUCUUAUAAAGCAUGUCAUUUCGUGUCAUGAAUAUUUACAAAUUAUAAAUACAAGUUGUGAUUUAUUAAAAGAUAAACACCUUGAUGAUAAUAAUUAUGCUGAAACUUAUUACAGCUCUAUAUUAUACUUAUUGAAUACAUAUUUCUGUCUUACUAACAGUAAAGAAUAUCUUAAAAAACAGUUUAUGAAUUUACAACAAGAUAAUUCUGAACAGCCCGAAUUUAAACAAAAUAAAUUAAAAUUCAAAGACAAAUGUUUAUAUUUAU
rnacentral:lncRNA from 1 species